rnacentral:rRNA from 1 species
CUCAACUCAGGUAAGAAAACGCCGUGAACUAAAGCAUUUCAGUAACGGCAGGAAAAGAAAAUAACCAUGAUUCCCUCAGUAACUGCGAGUGAAGUGGGAAAAGUCCAACGUUGAAAGCAGCGUCUGUAACAAGACGUCGCAUUGUAACGUAAAGACUUGUCAUCGAGGUGUGUGACCAAACUAAAGUCGUUGAGAAUGGCGCACCAUAGAGGGUUGUAGUCCCGUGUAUGGUUUGGUAUCGCAUGCUGUGAAUGACAAAGUCGAAGAGUCGGAUUGUUUGGGAAUGCAGUCCAAAGCGGGUGGUAAACUCCAUCUAAGGCUAAAUAUCACUCCGAGACCGAUAGCAAACAAGUACCGUGAGGGAAAGGUGAAAAGAAUUCUGUGAAGAGAGUGCAAAGAACGUGAAACCGUUAGUGGGGAAGCGGACGAUGUAGUCGUAGUGUUAGGUAGUUGUAUUUUUCAAUAUCUUGAAUUGUACUUAUCAAUCUAACGCGCGCCAGGCUCUAUGUCAAUGUUGCUGGCAGUGUGCUGGGUUGUCGACAAUGGUGGCACUGUAAAGUGUCAUCAGUUGGCUGCAGGUGCGUAAGCUGUUGUAGAGUAACGAGGCAUAGAUGUGUGUGCUUGUGCAUCAGAUACGUGUAUGUGUUGAUCAUUGGCAUUCCUUAUGGGAAUGCUGGCGUUUGGCCUGUGCACUGGUUUGGUGUCUCGACUAAGGUCGCACACAAACUCUUGGCGAGAUAUGACAUUGUCCGACCCGUCUUGAAACACGGACCAAGGAGGCUAACAUAUGCGCGAGUCGAGGAGUGGAGAAACUCUAUGGCGUAACGAAAGUAAAAUGUGAGAUCGCGUGAUGUCGAGUCACGUGCGCAUCACAGACCAGUCGGAAGUCUGACUACGAUUGAGUUGCAGCGUAUAUGCUAGAACCCGAUAGAUGGUGACCUAUUCCUGAGCAGAGCGAAUUCAUUGGAAACAAUGAUGGAGGCUCGUAGCGGUUCUGACGUGCAAAUCGAUCGUCAAACUUGGGUAUAGGGGCGAAAGACUUAUCGAACCAUCUAGUAGCUGGUUCCCUCCGAAAUAUCCCUCAGGAUCGCCGAAGCUCUCAGCAGUUUCAUCGGGUAGAGCUAAUGAUUAGAGGAUUCGUGGCUAUUUAUAGCUGCAGCCUAUUCUCAAACUGCAAACCGGUGACUAGUCAAUGAUUUCUUGAGUGAAUUGUUGACGUAAGUGCUGAAUGCGUGAGUUUCGAGUGGGCCGUUUUUGGUAAGCAGAACUGGCGAUGCGGGAUGAACCGAGAGUCAGGUUAAAGUGCCUAAAUUGCGGCAAACGGAAACCAUAAAAGGAGUUGGUAAAUAGUGACAGUGAGGCUGUGGUCCUGUCAGUAGACACCAGCUAAGAAGUGUGUAACAACUUACUUACCGAAUUUACUGGCCCUGAAAAUGGAUGGCGCUUAGCCGUGUACUGAUACCUGACCGUAGACGCGGGAUAUGCAACGUCUAUGGGUAGGAGGGUGCUAUGGUUGCGUAGAAGCACUUACGCGAGUGGGUGUCGAGCAGCCAUAGGUACAGAUCUUGGUUUUAGUAGCAGCGUAUAGAAGUGAGAACCUUCUAGGCCGAAGUGGAGAAGGGUUCCUCGUGAACAGCAGUUGGACGAGGGUUAGUCGGUCCUAAGCAGAAGCUCACAUGCUGAGUAAUAGGGGACGUUUUGUAUAUAGUGUGCUUGCACAUGGUACUUCGUCUCAGUCUGCGAAAGGGAAUCAGGUUAAUAUUCCUGAACCAGGUGGCGGAUAACUAGCGUUGUCUGGCGAUUCUCCGUGACUAACGUCGUGAGGGAUUGCUAAGAUGUCGUUAGUAAAGCGGUAACGCAAACGAACUUGGAGACGUUGUUGGUAGUUCUGGAAAGAGUUGUCUUUUCUUGUUAACUGGUUGCAUGAGCCUGGAAUAGAGUCAUUCGGAGAUAGGCUUAUCAGCCGGGAAGAGCGUCGCAUCUGAGUGGCGUCUGGAAUACUACCAAUGACCCUUGAAAAUCCAAGGGAGUGAAUGAUUGUCGUACCUGGCCGUACCGAGAUCCGCAUCAGGUCUCCAAGGUGAAAAGCCUCUGGCUCUAGAAUAAUGUGGGUAAGGGAAGUCGGCAAAAUCGAUUCGUAACUUCGGGAAAAGGAUUGGCUCUAAGGAUUGGACUAUUCGGAUUGCUGUCUCGUUAAGACGACGGUCGUCGACGCUGUGUCAUGUGGCUGAGCGGGCAACCGUUUGGCGCGGAUGUAGAUGUUGGUGUGCUGUUGUUUUGACCAGACGUCAGUUUACAGUGGUGUAGGCGAUGAAUAUCCAUUUGUUGUUCUAUGCCCUGUCUCGCGAGUAGUUUAAAUCAAUCAACUUAGAACUGUCACUAACUAGGGGAAUCCGACUGUUUAAUUAAAACAAAGCAUUGCGAUGGCUGGAAACGGUGUUGACGCAAUGUGAAUUCUGCCCAGUGCUCUGAAUGUCAAAGUGUGGAGACACAACCAAGCGCGGGUAAACGGCGGGAGUAACUAUGACUCUCUUAAGAUAGCCAAAUGCCUCGUCAUCUAAUUAGUGACGCGCAUGAAUGGAUCAACGAGAUUCCCACUGUCCCUACCUACCAUCUAGCGAACAAACAGUCAAGGGAACGGGCUUGACUGAGACAGCGGGGAAAGAAGACCCUGUUGAGCUUGACUCUAGUUUGAUAUGGUGAGGAGACAUGAGAGGUGUAGGAUAGGUGGGAGAAGCUGGAGUUUCGGCUUUGGUUUCAACAGUGAAAUACCACCACUCUUAUCGUUUCUUUACUCAAUCGGUGAUGUAGGAGGCGCCCAGUUGCUGUGUUAGUCAUUAUGCUACUUCAUGGCUGUUGGUUGCAGACGCGGGGUAAACCCCGUUUGCGAUUAGCAGUUGAGGAGAGUAGACUUGACCGGACUGGAUACGCCACUUGUAAGAAUUAAGAUGGGCUGUCCAGCAUGUAUGUUGGAUGGGCAACUGUUUAGUAUAUGUGUUGGACUGGCUUCUCGAGAGUGUGUCCGUCGACCUGGCCGUGGUUAUCGAGCAAUCGAUAAUUGCAGGUUUCGACCGAUGACAGUAUCAAAUGGGGAGUUUGACUGGGGCGGUACAUUCUUUAAAAUGCAACGAGAAUGUCCUAAGGUGGGCUCACCGUGGACAGAAACCACGGGUAGAGUAUAAGGGCAAAAGCCUGCUUGAUUUUGAUUUUCAGUACGAAUACAAACCACGAAAGUGUGGCCUAACGAUCCUUUAUGUUUACCUGAGAGUUUCAGGAUAGAGGUGUCAGAAAAGUUACCACAGGGAUAACUGGCUUGUGGCGGCCAAGCGCACAUAGCGACGUCGCUUUUUGAUCCUUCGAUGUCGGCUCUUCCUAUCAUUGAGCAGCAGCAUACUCAAAGUGUUGGGUUGUUCACCCGCUUCAGGGAACGUGAGCUG